rnacentral:rRNA from 1 species
UACGUAGGGGGCCAGCGUUGUCCGGAAUCAUUGGGCGUAAAGCGCGCGUAGGCGGCCAGAUAAGUCCGGUGUGAAAGUCAAAGGCUCAACCUUUGAAUGCCGCUGGAAACUGCCUGGCUUGAGUCCGGAAGGGGCGAGUGGAAUUCCUGGUGUAGCGGUGAAAUGCGCAGAUAUCAGGAGGAACACCAAUGGCGAAGGCAGCUCGCUGGAACGGUACUGACGCUGAGGCACGAAAGCGUGGGGAGCAAACAGG